rnacentral:rRNA from 1 species
CCUACGGAGGCAGCAGUGAGGAAUAUUGGUCAAUGGCCGGAAGGCUGAACCAGCCAAGCCGCGUGAAGGACGAAGGUGCCAAGCAUUGUAAACUUCUUUUGUCAAGGGACAAAAUCAGGCUCGAGAGCCUGACCGAGGGUACUUGAAGAAAAAGCAUCGGCUAACUCCGUGCCAGCAGCCGCGGUAAUACGGAGGAUGCGGGCGUUUACCGGUUUUAUUGGGGUUAAAGGGUGCGUAGGCGGACGGUUAAGCAAGCGGUAAAAGCACGGGGGUCAACCCCGGCCAGCCGUUGAAACUGGCUGUCUUGAGAUGUCGAGAGGUAUGCGGAAUGCGCGGUGUAGCGGUGAAAUGCUUAGAUAUUGCGCAGAACUCCGAUUGCGAAGGCAGCAUACCGGCGGCGAUCUGACGCUGAGGCACGAAAGCGUGGGUAUCGAACAGGAUUAGAUACCCUUGUAGUC